rnacentral:rRNA from 1 species
CCCUUAGAUGUUCUGGGCGGCCCGCGCACUACAUUGGCACUAGCAAAGAGAUCCUAGAUUGAAUUCUUUGGGGUAUUCUUCUAAAUGGUGUCGUGACUGGGAUAAAUCCUUGUAAUUAUUGGUUUUGAACGAGGAAUUCCUUGUAAUCGCGGUUUAUCAGCUCGCGUUGAAUGCGCCCCUGCCCUUUGUACACACCGCCCGUCGCUCCUACCGAUGGAUCGUCCGGUGAAGCUCACGGAGUGACUGUUCACGCAACGGUUUACGAAGUGAAAUGGACCUCACGAUUUAGAGGAAGGAGAAGUCGUAACA